GCCGGAGUGGUGGAAUUGGUAGACACAGGAGACUUAAAAUCUCCCGGGCCGUAAGGCCUGUGCCCGUUCGAUUCGGGUCUCCGGCACGA
rnacentral:tRNA from 1 species